rnacentral:rRNA from 1 species
UAGGGAAUCUUCCGCAAUGGACGCAAGUCUGCCGGAGCAACGCCGCGUGAGUGAAGAAGGAUUUCGGUUCGUAAAACUCUGUUGUUAGAGAAGAACAGCGCAUAGAGUAACUGUUAUGCGUGUGACGGUAUCUAACCAGAAAGCCACGGCUAACUACGUGCCAGCAGCCGCGGUAAUACGUAGGUGGCAAGCGUUGUCCGGAUUUAUUGGGCGUAAAGCGAGCGCAGGCGGUCAAUCAAGUCUGAUGUGAAAGCCCCCGGCUCAACCGGGGGGGGUCAUUGGAAACUGGUUGAGUGGGGUGCAGAAGAGGAGAGUGGAAUUCCAUGUGUAGCGGUGAAAUGCGUAGAUAUAUGGAGGAACACCAGUGGCGAAGGCGACUCUCUGAUCUGUAACUGACGCUGAGGCUCGAAAGCGUGGGUAGCAAACAGG